rnacentral:rRNA from 1 species
UUACGCUGUUAUCCCUAAGGAUGAUUUAAAUACUAAAUUUUAGGAUUAUAAAUCCAUGUAUAAAUGUUUAAUUUAUUUAAAAGUUUAUUUAAUUUAAAAAUUACCCCAAUUAAAUAUUAAUUAUAAAUAUUUAUAUUAUUAAUAUUUAUAUAUUUAAUAAUAAUUAAUAUUAAAUUCUAUAGGGUCUUCUCGUCUUUUAAUUAUAUUUAAGAAUUUUAACUUAAAAUUUAAUUUUAAUUUAUUUUUUUUAUAUAGAUUACAUUUCAUUUAAUCUUUCAUUCUAGUUAUCAAUUAAAAAACUAAUUAUUAUGCUACCUUUGUACAGUUAUUAAUACUGCAGCCAUUAAAAAUUCAUUGGGCAGAUUUGACUUAAAAUUAUUUUCAAUAAGACAUGUUUUUGUUAAACAGGCG